CACCGCGGUUAGACGAGAGGCCUAAGUUGAUAGCUUCCGGCGUAAAGAGUGGUUAAGGAAACCCCUAAACUAAAGCCGAAUAUUCUCACAGCUGUCAUACGCACCCGAGAAUAAGAAGCCCCACCACGAAAGUGGCUUUAACCCACCCGACCCCACGAAAGCUGUGAAACAAACUGGGAUUAGAUACCCCACUAUGCACAGCCCUAAACUUUGAUAGAAACAUUACACCCACUAUCCGCCAGGGUACUACGAGCUCUAGCUUAAAAUCCAAAGGACUUGGCGGUGCUUUAGACCCACCUAGAGGAGCCUGUUCUAGAACCGACAACCCCCGUUCAACCUCACCCUCCCUUGUUUAUCCCGCCUAUAUACCGCCGUCGUCAGCUUACCCCAUGAAGGAUUCAUAGUAAGCAAAACCAGUAUAACUUAAAACGCCAGGUCGAGGUGUAGCGCAUGAGAGGGGAAGAAAUGGGCUACAUUCCCUAAAUAAGGGCACACGGAAAAUACAAUGAAAUGCGUAUUAGAAGGAGGAUUUAGCAGUAAGCAGAAAAUAGAGUGUUCUACUGAAACUGGCCCUGAAGCGCGCACACACCGCCCGUCACUCUCCCCAAACACAUAAAUCACAUAAUUAAUAAGUCAAACAAACAAAGGGGAGGCAAGUCGUAA
rnacentral:rRNA from 1 species